rnacentral:tRNA from 1 species
AGAAAUAUGUCUGACAAAAGAGUUACUUUGAUAGAGUAAAACAUAGGGGUUAUACCCCUUAUUUCUA